GAAAGUUCCCUUUCCCCUGGCUGGCACCUCGGAGGCCGCACGAUGCCUGGAGUUACCGUAAAAGACGUGAACCAGCAGGAGUUCGUCAGAGCUCUGGCAGCCUUCCUCAAAAAGUCCAGGAAGCUGAAAGUCCCCGAAUGGGGACUUGACACCGUCAAGCUAGUCAAGCACAAAGAGCUUGCUCCCCAUGAUGAGAACUGGUUCUACACACGAGCUGCUUCCACAGCGCGGCACCUCUACCUCGGGGGUGGCGCUGGGGUUGGUUCCAUGACCAAGAUCUAUGGGGGACGUCGGAGAAGCGGCGUCAUGCCCAGCCACGUCAGCCGAGGCUCCAAGAGUGUGGCUCGCCGGGUCCUCCAAGCCCUGGAGGGGCUGAAAAUGGUGGAAAAGGACCAAGAUGGGGGCCGCAAACUGACACCUCAGGGACAGAGAGAUCUGGACAGAAUCGCCGGGCAGGUGGCAGCUGCCAACAAGAAGCAUUAGAACAAACCAUGCUGGGUUAAUAAAUUGCCUCAUUCGUUAAAAAAAAAAAAAAAACAAAAACAAAAGAAAGAAAGAAAAAA